GACGAACGCUGGCGGCGUGCUUAACACAUGCAAGUCGAACGGAAAGGCCCUGCUUUUGUGGGGUGCUCGAGUGGCGAACGGGUGAGUAACACGUGAGUAACCUGCCCUUGACUUUGGGAUAACUUCAGGAAACUGGGGCUAAUACCGGAUAGGAGCUCCUGCUGCAUGGUGGGGGUUGGAAAGUUUCGGCGGUUGGGGAUGGACUCGCGGCUUAUCAGCUUGUUGGUGGGGUAGUGGCUUACCAAGGCUUUGACGGGUAGCCGGCCUGAGAGGGUGACCGGCCACAUUGGGACUGAGAGACGGCCCAGACUCCUACGGGAGACAGCAGUGGGGAAUAUUGCACAAUGGGCGGAAGCCUGAUGCAGCAACGCCGCGUGCGGGAUGACGGCCUUCGGGUUGUAAACCGCUUUCGCCUGUGACGAAGCGUGAGUGACGGUAAUGGGUAAAGAAGCACCGGCUAACUACGUG
rnacentral:rRNA from 1 species